rnacentral:rRNA from 1 species
ACGGAAGAUGCGAGCGUUAUCCGGAUUUAUUGGGUUUAAAGGGAGCGUAGGCGGGCGAUUAAGUCAGCGGUAAAAUCGUGUGGCUCAACCAUACCAUGCCGUUGAUACUGGUUGCCUUGAGUGUACACAAGGUAGAUGGAAUUCGUGGUGUAGCGGUGAAAUGCUUAGAUAUCACGAAGAACUCCGAUUGCGAAGGCAGUCUACUGGGGUACAACUGACGCUGAGGCUCGAAAGUGCGGGUAUCAAACAGG